GCGUCAGCUCAUCACGCGUAGUACGCUACGCGCUCGAGUUCGCACGUCACGACUAUCCACGGUCGCUAGUCGACUCUGCGUACGUUACGUGGCAGCGACGCUCCCAGUCUAUACUGCCGAUGACGGGACUAUCCGCGUCGUCACUGCUUGGUAGUCACGCGUCGUCUGGUACGUAAACUCUGCUCUGAAGAUAGUAUGUGGCUAGUACAUCGCCGGUGAACUGACGGUACCGACAGAUCAGCACCGGCUACAGUACCAGCUAGCAGUCUCGUCAUAGGUAGGUCGCAUUAUUACAUACUAAUUACUGGCAUCAUGCGUGCGCGGUCGGUCAGAACGAUAGGAUGUGAAUGAGCGUGAUAACUUCGGACAUGCAUACUUAUCUACCUGGCUAGAGUGUGAGGGAGGUGGAAUUCCGCGUGUAGCAGUGAAAUGCGUAGAUAUGCGGAGGAACACCGAUGGCGAAGGCAGCUCCUGGGAUAACACUGACGCUCAUGCACGAAAGCGUGGGGAGCAAACAGGAUUAGAUACCCUGGUAGUCCACGCCCUAAACGAUGUCAACUAGCUGUUGGGGCCUUCGGGCCUUGGUAGCGCAGCUAACGCGUGAAGUUGACCGCCUGGGGAGUACGGUCGCAAGAUUAAAACUCAAAGGAAUUGACGGGGACCCGCACAAGCGGUGGAUGAUGUGGAUUAAUUCGAUGCAACGCGAAAAACCUUACCUACCCUUGACAUGUCUGGAAUCCCGAAGAGAUUUGGGAGUGCUCGCAAGAGAACCGGAACACAGGUGCUGCAUGGCUGUCGUCAGCUCGUGUCGUGAGAUGUUGGGUUAAGUCCCGCAACGAGCGCAACCCUUGUCAUUAGUUGCUACGAAAGGGCACUCUAAUGAGACUGCCGGUGACAAACCGGAGGAAGGUGGGGAUGACGUCAAGUCCUCAUGGCCCUUAUGGGUAGGGCUUCACACGUCAUACAAUGGUCGGGACAGAGGGUCGCCAACCCGCGAGGGGGAGCCAAUCCCAGAAACCCGAUCGUAGUCCGGAUCGCAGUCUGCAACUCGACUGCGUGAAGUCGGAAUCGCUAGUAAUCGCGGAUCAGCAUGUCGCGGUGAAUACGUUCCCGGGUCUUGUACACACCGCCCGUCACACCAUGGGAGUGGGUUUUACCAGAAGUAGUUAGCCUAACCGCAAGGAGGGCGAUUACCACGGUAGGAUUCAUGACUGGGGUGAAGUCGUAACAAGGUAGCCGUAAAU
rnacentral:rRNA from 1 species